UAAACAACUGGCGGCCUCUUACCAUGCAAGUCGAGCGGUAAGGCCCUUCGGGGUUACACGAGCGGCGAACGGGUGAGUAACACGUGAGCAACCUGCCCCCGACUCCGGGAUAAGCGGUGGAAACGCCGUCUAAUACCGGAUACGACCGGCCACCUCAUGGUGGCUGGUGGAAAGUUUCUCGGUUGGGGAUGGGCUCGCGGCCUAUCAGCUUGUUGGUGGGGUAAAGGCCUACCAAGGCGAUUACGGGUAGCCGGCCUGAGAGGGCGACCGGCCACACUGGGACUGAGACACGGCCCAGACUCCUGCGGGAGGCAGCAGUGGGGAAUAUUGCGCAAUGGGCGAAAGCCUGACGCAGCGACGCCGCGUGGGGGAUGACGGCCUUCGGGUUGUAAACCUCUUUUACCACCAACGCAGGCUCCCAGUUCUCUGGGGGUUGACGGUAGGUGGGGAAUAAGGACCGGCUAACUACGUGCCAGCAGCCGCGGUAAUACGUAGGGUCCGAGCGUUGUCCGGAAUUAUUGGGCGUAAAGAGCUCGUAGGCGGCGUGUCGCGUCUGCUGUGAAAGACCGGGGCUUAACUCCGGUUCUGCAGUGGAUACGGGCAUGCUAGAGGUAGGUAGGGGAGACUGGAAUUCCUGGUGUAGCGGUGAAAUGCGCAGAUAUCAGGAGGAACACCGGUGGCGAAGGCGGGUCUCUGGGCCUUACCUGACGCUGAGGAGCGAAAGCAUGGGGAGCGAACAGGAUUAGAUACCCUGGUAGUCCAUGCCGUAAACGUUGGGCGCUAGGUGUGGGGACUUUCCACGGUUUCCGCGCCGUAGCUAACGCAUUAAGCGCCCCGCCUGGGGAGUACGGCCGCAAGGCUAAAACUCAAAGGAAUUGACGGGGGCCCGCACUAGCGGGCGGAGCAUGUUGCUUAUUUCGACGCACGCGAAGAACCUUACCAAGGUUUGACAUCACCCGUGGACCUGCAGAGAUGUGGGGUCAUUUAGUUGGUGGGUUGACAGGUGGUGCAUGGCUGUCGUCAGCUCGUGUCCGUGAGAUGUUGGGUUAAGUUCCCGCACCGAGCGCAACCCCUUAUUCCUUGUUGCCAGCACCUAUGGUGGGGGACUCAUGGGAGAACUGCCCGGGU
rnacentral:rRNA from 1 species